AUCGGUCAAGUGAUGAUUAGAUGCAUAGUUCAAAUGACUAAUUCGUGAUUAUAAUACUCUUUAGUCUUUCGCUCCUAUCUGAUGACAUUA